rnacentral:rRNA from 1 species
CCUACGGGCGGCAGCAGUGGGGAAUAUUGGACAAUGGGCGAAAGCCUGAUCCAGCCAUGCCGCGUGUGUGAAGAAGGCCUUUGGGUUGUAAAGCACUUUCAGUGGGGAAGAAAGCCUUGGGGCUAAUACCCUCGAGGAAGGACAUCACCCACAGAAGAAGCACCGGCUAACUCCGUGCCAGCAGCCGCGGUAAUACGGAGGGUGCGAGCGUUAAUCGGAAUUACUGGGCGUAAAGCGCGCGUAGGCGGUCUGAUAAGCCGGUUGUGAAAGCCCCGGGCUCAACCUGGGAACGGCAUCCGGAACUGUCAGGCUAGAGUGCAGGAGAGGAAGGUAGAAUUCCCGGUGUAGCGGUGAAAUGCGUAGAGAUCGGGAGGAAUACCAGUGGCGAAGGCGGCCUUCUGGACUGACACUGACGCUGAGGUGCGAAAGCGUGGGUAGCAAACAGGAUUAGAUACCCGGGUAGUC